UACGUAGGGUGCGAGCGUUGUCCGGAUUUAUUGGGCGUAAAGAGCUCGUAGGCGGUUUGUCGCGUCGGCCGUGAAAUCUCCACGCUUAACGUGGAGCGUGCGGUCGAUACGGGCAGACUUGAGUUCGGUAGGGGAGACUGGAAUUCCUGGUGUAGCGGUGAAAUGCGCAGAUAUCAGGAAGAACACCCGUGGCGAAGGCGGCUCUCUGGUACGUGACUGACGCUGAGACGCGAAAGCGUGGGGAGCAAACAGG
rnacentral:rRNA from 1 species